rnacentral:tRNA from 1 species
GGCCCGGUAGCUCAAUUGGACAGAGCACCCGAUUACUAAUCGGAGUGUUGGGAGAUCGUACCUCCCCCGGGCCACCA